rnacentral:rRNA from 1 species
GAUGAACGCUGGCGGCGUGCCUAAUACAUGCAAGUCGAGCGAACAGACGAGGAGCUUGCUCCUCUGACGUUAGCGGCGGACGGGUGAGUAACACGUGGUUAACCUAACUAUAAGAAUGGGAUAACUUCGGGAAAUCGGAGCUAAUACCGGAUAAUAUAUUGAACCGCAUGGUUCAAUAGUGGAAGACGGUUUUGCUGUCACUUAUAGAUGGAUACGCACCGCAUUAGAUAGUUGGUAAGGGAACGGCUUACCAAGGCAACGAUGCGUAGCCGACCUGAGAGGGGGAUCGGCCACACUGGAACUGAGACACGGUCCAGACUCCGACGGGAGGCAGCAGUAGGGAAUCUUCCGAGAUGGGCGAAAGCCUGACGGAGCAACGCCGCGUAGGUGAUGAAGGUCUUCGGAUCGUAAAACUCUGUUAUUAGGGAAGAACAAAUGUUUAAGUAACUAUGCACGUCUUGACGGUACCUAAUCAGAAAGCCACGGCUAACUACGUG